AUUGCAUAGGGUGGGCAUUUACAAAUGAGGUCCCUAAGUCUCUUCCAUGUUUCAUGAAAUAAUUCUUCAUCCAUUUGAGAAAAACUAGUGAUGGUUUUUUUAAUUU